UCCUCUCAGUCACUGUGACCCAGAAGCAGC
rnacentral:piRNA from 1 species